UGAGAACAGUGCAAACGGUUUUGUGGUUU
rnacentral:piRNA from 1 species